UCAAAUAAUUUGAUUUUAUCCUUCUCUUUGCUCGAUUCGUCGCGCGGAAGAGGAAAAAUUUAAAAAGAUUUCCAAAGAGGUGAUUACGUUUCUCGAUUUCUUAUCAUUCGUUUAUUAAGCGUAUAACGUUAAAAAGGAAUAAUCGAAAUGAUCCAACCGAAGAGAAGAUCUUUUUCCUCCCGCAAUGCUUCUCGUUCCUACGUUCCUUCCAUUCCUCACAUACUUGGCCAGUCGAGACGGGAAAAUUUCUGUGUGGACCUUUCAUCUUGCGUUCGUUGCUCUUUCGAAUUGCGCCUCGCCGAGAAUCGUGUCGACGUCUUGGAAAAAAGAGGAGAGAAAGAGAGAGGGGGGACCAUGUUGUUUUUUAAUUUAAACCCCGUGUUUUCACUCUUGAUAAAACGAGUAUCGAAGAAAAUUCUGAAAUUUAUCAAAUUUCCGUCGAAUAUCCCGUUGAAGAAGGAAGGGGGAGGAGGGAAAUUAGACUUGUGUUUCAACACUUUUGGGAUUCCUACUUUUUUAUCCAAAAAUCUAAAGAGAGAAAUCAACCUUUAUUAAUAACCCUCCUCAACGUUUACGGUCGUUUCACCUUCACCUACAGUCUCCAAAGUUCGAAUACACUGUUGCAUUCUUGCUCGUCGAAUCCUAUUCAUCGAUCUUGGAAAUGGGAAGAAAAGUCACUGGGCAAUCUAAAAAAGAUCCGCAAAGACGGUGGAAUCUGUUCAGGGAAGCUUGGAGAAAAUUUUUCCACGACGAGAACGGCUAUUUGAUCAGCUAUUUCGCGGCGCAACGAGGCAACGAGAUGCUGGAACGGGACGGUUCGUAUGGAGAUUUGCGGGUCAAAAGUUGGACGGCGAGGGUGACAUUAUCGUGUAAAGGGGAGGAGAGUAGUCGUUAUGGAAUCGUGGCCCGUCUCUUCUUCUUCCUGUUUCGUUCCAGAGAGAGAUCCUCCCUUGCCACCAGCUUUUCUCUUUUCGAGGGUUGCUUUAAAGCGUGAUAUCGGAAGGAUGGAUUCGUCCAGCUCGAUUCAGAUUAUUUAUUUCUUACGUGGAAGAGAAUAGUAGAGGAAGAGGAAUUAUAUGUUGAAUUGUUCGAAACGUUCGAAAAAUAUAUAUAUAUACAUUUUCCAUUAUUCACACUCCCUCGAAAGCGACGCUUUACCAAGAAAAGGGAGAAGCAGCGAUGGAAAUGGUUCCUUUCACCUUUCCUGGCGCCAUUCCAUCGCUCUCGACGUAUCGUUCAUUUCACCCUUCUUCCCGAUAAAAAAGAAAGCGUCCGUUAUUAUAUAAACUGUCUCUUGUGACUAUUUCAAUUCGAGGACAGAUAAAUUCGUGGCAGCGGCGUAAUUGCUAAUUUUCUUCCCUUUCUAACGCCGCCCCUCCUCCUCCUCCUCCUUCGUGAAACAGAUUUUCGAGUAGCAAAGGGCAAAAUAAAGUCGCCGCCUAUUCCAUGUCGCCGCGUUGCCUUUUAUAUCGCGCUGUUCGCCAGGAAAAUAUCGAAACGUACGAGUUGCCCGGCCGUUGCCAAGUUAUCACCUAUUUCACCCGGCCCGUUCCGUUUGGCUCGCGACUUUUUGGCAACCGGCCCCCGAAAUACGAGGGGCGGCGCAAAAUUUAAUGGCCGAUGUCUAUGCGACCCCCGCGCGUCGACGACGCUCGGUGUGCAAGAUGUUCCGUUUCUCGCGCACAAUUUUCUGAUCGAUCGUCCGAGCGAGCAAUGCUAGAUUCGGCGGUGAAAAUUGGAAUUUUAUUCCGUGGAACCGUUUCUCACGCACCCUUGUGACGAUUUUGGGGGAGGGGGAAGAAUGAUCGGUGGUAUUUUAUUCGACAACAGAUACGAUUCACGAACGCGGCAUUUACGGCCGCAUUUUCAGUUGCGAGCGGCCCCAGAGAGCCUUGGUUGAAAAUUCUUGACAUCACCAGCCACGGGAAUAUUCCGGUUGAACUGACGCUGAAUCCUAUCGCGGGAAUAUUUUCUGCACUGGUUGACGAGCAUCUCGACGGGAACGUAUUUAUAUGCUCGAAAAGAUUGCGAAUUAUUUCGAUCGCUUCUCGAUGCUUCCUCUACACCCGUCCCUUCCUCCCCUCUGCGGUUUGUGUUUUCCUACAAAUUUUCCACCUAUCGUGAGGAUAUUUUCGUGUCCUGAAAAGCGUGCUACGAAAUCGUAGCGCAUCUCGGAAAAAAGAAAAAGAAAGAAAGAAAGGAAGAGUUACGAAAGACGCGUGGAUCAUCCUCGAUUUCCACGGUACGAUAUUACAUCUCGAGGUUUCUGGGUCGAGCUUCGACUGAAAAAGAAAAGAAAACUCAUCAACAGAUUUUCAGAUUGAGAGAUCCUCUUUGUCUCUCUCUCUAUAUAUAUAUACAUAUAUAUAUAUAUAUGUACGCAUUCGAUGAGCAGUCGGAGAAUAAUGCACGGUCCGCUGUUAAAACCGUUAAUUAAAACGCGUUGGAUUUAUUAAUUAAAGCGUGCAUUUUGCAUUCGCGCGUUUACGUACGUUUGGAUGGAUUUACGGGCGUUCAGUUUGUAGGCCAAUGCCGGAUUUUUGGCCGGAGUAGUGGCAAUUGGAAGGUAAAUAAUAUCCGGCUGUUUUUCGUUUUCGAGUUCUCUGCUUAUUCUUUUUUUUCUUUUUUUUUUCUAAUAAAUCACGAUAAUAUCUCUUUCAUGAAGAUUAUCAUAAAUAUUCCAUCAACGAUGUUUCAUCCAUGUAGGAAGAUGUAUAUUUCUGUAACUAACAGAUAAAUUUCUCGAUCUUCGAACAGGCGUGAGGGAGGGUGGGAAAGAAUUCGGAAAUCCAUUAAAACUUUAAUCCAACAACAUCGACCCUCGCACUUCUCCUGGCGCCAACCGUAUAAUCGACUUCACGACCACGCGUGCUUAUAACAUCCCUCCGCCAAUAUUUCACACGGUGAACACCUAUUUCCUUCGAUUAUUCGCGAUGGUUGACGUCGACGACGACGAGAAGGGAAAGGUUGAAGGGAGGGAAAGGGACGAGAGAAAGGGAAAAAAGAAAGGAAGAACGGAUUCUCGGAGAAACGGCGUGAUGGUUGGAUUGUUAUUUAGAACGGAUAUCCUCUAAUUAGUAACAUUAAUACGCCCUAACGUUGCUAGCCCCGUUUCCAAGACAAUGGCGGAGAUUGUGUUGAAUGCAGUAAUCAGAGGGCAGACUGUCCCGGGGGACAACCUUUCUCUCCUCGCGUUCGUCCUGCAGGAACAGCAUCUGCUCGCUCCCUUCUCGUCCCAAUCUCGUAUUUCCCUAGACGUGCGUCCAACGCGCUUUCUUUUCGAUCCUCCAGCUUCAAAUUCAAAAGCUCGUUGUUAUUUCAAGACAACGUGGAUGAUUCCCCUCCUUGUCGCACACUUGUUAAUUCUCCACAUACUUUUCUUUCUCUCCUUCUUCUCCUUCUUCUCUCGCCCGAUCCAGCAACUAUCCGCUCCGCUUGGUCGUCAGCUUUUCUUUUGUUGCUGAAAAAAUCGGUCAACCCUACAACCGCGAACGCUUUUAGCACUCCCGAUCUUUCUGAACGCGAAAGAAAAUAUUUUACCAAAAUCGCAAUGCUCUUGGAAUAUGGCUGUUCGUCGCCGCAACAUUCGAAAUAUUUAUUGAUUUCGGAGACGACAACUCCGGUUUAUAUACCACGCUAGUUAAAAAGUUAAAAUUUACUUGUUCGACAACGCGUAACGGAUCGAGCAAGUGCAAAGGCUAGCGUAUUAUUCAGAUGUCGAAUUGUCGAGGCGCAAAACAGUUGGAGAAAGAUUUCGGGGGAGGGGGCAAAUGGGAGCAAAUUCUGGCGUGCGUCGAAUGCGAUUAAUUCCGAGGCUGCGAUUAUCGAAAAUGGGGUGUACCGAUCGAUCCCCCUUUUUUUCCACCCCCACCCUCCCAUUAUAAGGGAGGACGUAUAAAUCAGGGGAAACGUAUCAUAACGUUGAUUUACGCCCGUUCAUUAAGCCCGUGUUCCCGCGGUACGUAGCGACGCGAACUUGGUAGUAAAUCUUGGUAGGAGCGAGUCGCGACUCGCCGCGCGGGUAACUGGCCGCAAUUGAUGGCGAUGCGGAGAUCUUGUUAGGCGACAAGUGAAAUCUCGCCUGCCUAUCGAACGCGCCACUCCACACUUGUAUCCUUGCCCCCCCUCCUCUCCCAUUGUAAUUGAAUCUUCUCUCCGAUAGAGCCGCACGAGUGAAUACUAAUUAUCAGGGGUCGAAUGUCAUUUACUUAGGAUAGGGUGGCACGAUUAUCCUACGAUUAAUCGCGACGGUUGGCGGCGUUCUGCGGAUCUAGGAACCAACCGAUGAUCCCCGCCGAACGGUAAUUGAAUAGUUCGGAAACGAUAACCGAACUAUCGUCCAGGAGUGAUAACGCUCUUGGGAGUUAACGGGGGAUCGGUGGGGAGGGUUAAUUGUAAACAGGGUCGUCUUGUUUGUAAAAUGGCGCGUUUCGAAUUUUUUUUCGAAAUUUAAAAUUUCGAGAAGUGGGAAUUUGUAAUGAUGGAGAGGAAAAAAGGGGAAGAGGGAAGUUAUCGAUUUCUGUAUCAUUGGUGAUUUGUGCAAAAGUUCUUUUUCUCGUUGCUGGGGAGUAGAGUUAACUGUAAACUGUAAACAUUUGAAAUUUCGAGAAUUGAGAAUUUGUAAUGAUGGAGAGGAAAAAAGGGGAAGAGGGAAAUUAUCGAUUUCUGUAUCAUUUGUGCAAAAGUUCUUUUUCUCGUUGUUGGGGAGUAGAGUUAAACUGUAAACAGGGUCGUUUUGUUUGUAAAAUGACGCGUUUUGAAUUUUUUUUUGAAAUUAAAAAUUUCGAGAGUUGAGAAUUUGUAUUAAUCGAGAAGAAAAAGAGAAAGAAGAGGGAAGUAUUAACUGUAAAUUGGGUCGUCUUGUUUGUAAAAUGGCGCGUUUCGAAUUUUUGGAAAUUAAAAAUUUUAAGAGUUAUGUUAGAAAGUUUGAGAAUUAGGAAUUUGAGAAUCGUUGUAUAAGGAAAAUGUCUCUUUCUCCUUAUCGGAGAGCGGAAUUGACUGUAACUUGAGUUUGGAAACUAGGAAUUUGAGGAUCGUCGUAAUAAUCGAGAAAGAAGAGGGGAAGAGGGAAGUGUUAUCGAUAUCAUUGGUGAUUUGUGCGUAGCAAAGCUCUCUUUCUCUUUAUUGGGGAGCACGAAGGAAUUGACAAUGUAGGGCGUAAUACGAAGAGUGAUAAUAUGGAUGUACGUAGAAUGAAUAUUUUACGACACUUUGAAAAUUCUUCCUUUUUUACGUGACAUUUCGAAUUCCGGGAGCAAGAAACUGGAGAUAAGAAUGUGCCGUAACUGUAUUUUAUUAAAUAAAAAUUGUCGUAAAAAUGGUUGUUUCAAAUUCUACUGUACGGCAAAAAAUCAUUCGCCCCUUCAUACGCUAAUAAAAGUUCUCGUAACUUUUUUUUCUUUGCUGUAUAUAUUUUAUCUUAUGAGCUGGAUUCCCUACUUGUCCCUACGAUGACGAUAUACCCCUUUUAUCGUUGGUAUAUUUAUCAAUAUCUUUUAUCUUUAUCUAGAUCUAUUUCUCUAUUCAACUUUACGCCAUUUUAUUUUCACGUUAUUCUGUUUUUCUCUUUUUUAUUGCAGUUUAAUAUAUCGUAAAGCUUCGAGAAAUCUAAAAAAUAACUUAAAGUAACUGGUGAGAAAAGGUUUGAUGCCUGACCAUGCGCCGAUCUACACUACUUGCCACUGGUAGAAGUAAACAUCUCUCGAUUGCGCGAUACUGGGUCGUCAUUUUUUUUAACGAAAAGCGAUAAAAUUAUUUUAUCGAGGUUGGCGAAUCUUAUUUAUACGCGAAGAAUGCAGCACGCUUCAAAAAUUUCUAAACCCAGUUCAGACCUUAUCGUCUUGCGUAAAACUUUUUCGAAAGAUUUUCAUGUUCGAUAAAAUGCCAAGAUAUAUUACACAUCCCCCUCCCCUCCCUGCGAAUGAUUUAAGUCCCGAGAUACACUUUGUAUUACGAAAAUUCUUUCUAAUAAUUUCAACCCAUAAAAAGUUCGAUCGACAAUAAAUUUACAUACGUAAAAUAAUUUAAAAAUUCCGAAUCGAAAAUAGGAAAUCAUGUAGCAACAAACUUUCCCUUUCCCUUUAUUAAACUUUAUAAUUCUACAAAAUUUCACAAAUAUACAAAAAGCACGACAUUACGCUCGAAAUUAAUAAAUCACCCAUUCGUCUAAAUCCUCUAAUCUUGCUACUAAUUUCCCCAAAAUUAAACCGUCGAUUUAUCGAUCCACCAAAAAGGGGACCAUUCUCAAAUCGCACGAUAUCACAAUCACCGCACGAACGAUUAUCAUCCUCAAUCAAUAUCUCUGCAUUUCCGAACCAAAAGAAUCCAACGCAGCGGCGAAAUUUGCCGAGUUUUAUUGGCGACCGCGGGGCUGGUUUUUUCGAGAUAAUUAACAACCGGUAAAUGAAACUAGCUGUGCCGGUUCACCGAGGUAUCUCGUGAUCCUUUUACGCGAUUAACGGUGGCGAAUCAAACGAAACGGGGAUUAUAUUUCACGAUGUGACAAGGGUUGGGGCAUACGUGCCCCUCUCCUCUUUGUCCUCGGUCAGAGGGUGCAGGUGUGUGUGUGUGUAACGAGAACAGCCUUCGGGGAGCUGUUGCCACCCCUCGAGGAUGCUGCUGCCACUUUAUUGCUGCAAUAAGAGUUAUCACUCGGCGAUAACUGCCCCCGUAACUCCAACGUUCGCGAUGAAUACACAUUCCUACCACCUUCUGCCCCCUCCCUCCCUUUGUCCUCUUGUUUGCUGCAACCUCGUCCGAGAUAUCGUUUACACGCUCUCCUUGAGACUUUUUUCGGGGAGGGGAGCUUGUAAAUUUUCCACUCCGACCGCGUUUCCUUCAAGAGUUGUGGAGAAGGAUGGAGUUAUUUAAAAGCGGCAGAUUUGUCGACAAGUUUUUCGAAACAGUUUGUUUCUCGAUUUUCGUUCUAAUUUUUGUACGAAUUUUGUAUAAACAGUUUAUAGAAACUGAUAUUAGUAAUCGAUAUUAAUUACGAAUUGUUGAUUCAUUUUUCGAAAUUGUAAAGACACGUGUAAAUUUUUAGGGAUGAAAUUAAAUGAAAGUCGAAAGGUGAAUUGGAAUAAACAUUUGAGAAAUAUCGAAGAGAGAACAGGUUGGCAGAGUUUUUACUUUUUACUUUAAUUCUUAAGAGAAGCGUUCCUCUUAAGUAUGAUCGAAAGCGUGCACGAUCAGAAGAUUCGAAGAUGCUGUAUAAAAUUUGUAUAAAAUAUCCGAGCUAUAAAUUUUGUCGAGGCAAUUUUUUUAUGUUUCUAACUGGGAACUCGUGUCUUACUUUGAAAAAUUACGUGAUAACGCAGUUCCUGGUUGAGGUGAAGGGAAAAAUAAAGCCGCUGAUAAAUGAUGCAGAAGCGCAGAAAAAUGCUUCGUUUAAAAUUAAAAUUUCAUACGGCAGACGUUCGUAUGUAAAACGUGAUAACUAACCCGGUCUUCGGUUGAAACGAGUUAUUCAUAUCCGUCUGCCUAUAAUAAUUUCAGGAAAAAGAUCUUUUAAUACGAGGCCACGUUAUUACCUAGUCAACUUUAUGCCCGUUGUUUCAACUUUCGAAAUACAUUUCACUAACUUUCGAAACUCUCUGUUGUGAAAAAAGAAAAAAGGAAAGAAAAGAGAAGGAAGAUUUAUCGCUUUUCAUUAAUAAAAUCGACGUAAUCAGUAAUAGAUCGGAAAUAUAAUGAAUUCGAACACAGUCAGGAAAGUGAUUGCGAUCGGUGUUAAUUUUUCAAGCGAUCAAUAUUUAAAUAUAUUCAUUUGUCCCGCGAAAACAAGGAAAUUGCUCCACUGUUUCGAGUUGUUAACUUUAUAUAUCUCGUUGAUAUUUUGUUUUGUUAUUGCGAUACAUUAUUUUCCUUACCAGUUAUCUAUUUGGCUGUUCCCAUGUCCUCUAGAAUGGCGUAGAGAGCGAAUAGAGAAUUACCGAGUUCUUGUUGGUUUUGCUCUUGCCACGACGGAGCUUUGGAGCUUGGAUCCGGAGCAACGUUUAAUUAAUUUCUUCUUUUUUUUUUCUUUUUCUUCUUUUUUUCGGCCAAUGUCGCUUUAAUUAAUGGUCCGCUUUAUUUUCUUUCUUUCGAGGAAAGUGGAUACGUAAGAGGGAUGAAUAUGACUUUGAAAAAAAUUGAUUGACGAGGGAAGUUUGUAAGACAAAAUGGAGUCAUCGCAGAAAAAAAAAGAAGUCUCUUUUCAUCUGGAGACGAGAAAUACUUUUAUUAAAAAAAAAAAAAAAAAAGUAUACUUUGUGUAAAUUUAUUUAUUCUAUUUCCAGUUUGAAACGAAAUUGUUUUUCAAUUUUUUAUUUUAUUUCAAAAAUUCCACUGAAAAUUGCCUGGAACUUGUAUUUUUUAAGCAAAAUAUGUUAUCAUAAAUUUAAAUUUUUUUUUUUUCUGAACGAAAAUGUUGUAUCUAUUCUUUCCUCCCUCUCUCUCUCUCUCUUUCCUUUUUUGUUAGCCUGGAAACAUACGUUACCGGUUCGGUGAUUUACAAUGAUUUUACACUAGAUUUACAUCGUGAGUCGAUCGGUACAAGUGGAAAACGAAUUUACGUUCUCUCUGAGCCAAUUGUUACACACGUGAAUUUACGAUCUUUGCAAAUUGAACGGAAUUGCGCGAACCUCCCCCUCCGUAUUAUUAGAAUAAAACGUUGAUCGCUGUUCCAUGUUUCACGAAAAGAUUUUAUCAUGGAGAUAUUAAUCUCUUUUCAUUACUUUUCAUUUAUUGAUUACACACAUAAUGCGUUUCCAUUCCGGAAAAAUGUUAUUAUUUUAUUGCCGUGUUUCGCAAAAUUAAAAAUUUUGCACGUGAGGGGAGAAUAAUCGAAUCCAAUUUGAGCAGAGUAGCCGAUAAAUUCAUUAAUUGAUAACAGGAAAUAACGGCAAAUGAAUGCAAUUGAUAAAUCGUAAAAAAUAAUUUACAGUUUGCAAAUAAAAAAAAAAAAGAAAAAUUUCCAAACCACGAAAUCGCCCCAAGAAAUCGUUCGUGAUACUCUGAAAAUAUUAUCUUCAUCCCUCUACCCUUGUUAUUUUUUUUCCCCCUCUAUUUAAUCUCUCGCUAUCGUUUCCUUUAUUUAUCUUUUAGAGAAGAUUCAGGCUCGAUCAUCCCACCACGAAAUUCUCAAAUUUAUUUCUAACUUGAUCGAAUUGAAAAAAUAUUCCUGACUUUUUCUUUUUUUCUUUUUCGUCCGAUCAAUCGUAUCGACCACUAUUUUUAAACUCCUACUACUAAAUUUACUACUCAACUAUCUCAAUCGCCGACGUAUCUCAAAAUCACUUCCCUCGGCUUCCCUAAAAAAAAAAAAAUUUCUCUCCAUCCACAGCUCCUCACUAUCCAAGCAAAAAAACGAUAACUCCGAUAAUUCCACCAUCUCUUCUCUUUCUUCCCCCCAAAACUACGUUGCUACGUCAAAAAGAAGAAGAAAAAAGCUUCAAAAAAAUAUAUUUCUACGAUUUUUCUUCCAACCUUUCUUCCGACCGCGCCAUAAUUCAGCACCAACCCUUCCCUUCCCUCGCCACCGCGCUUAAUUCAACUUCUCCCCUCCCCCUCCCCCUCCAGCACACGAUCGAUCGUCCCGCACGGUGAAUCCAGCGCGUGUUCCACUUAGGAGAUUGCGAUUAGGUGUCAAACGAAAGUUGGACAGGACGUGGACGUCGCGGGAGGGACGGCCUGUAUCCCGAAGCUCAUAAGUUCACGGGCAAGCCUGUGGGAUUGCACGUGCUGUCACGUGUCGACGUGUUGUAUCGAUAUUAACGACGACAAGUUGAGACCACGCAGCCUUCAGACACGCGAUCCCGACAGUCGUUGGAGAUUACUUUUUCUCUCCCUCUCUCUCUCUCUCUCUCUUUUCUUCCUUUCUUUCUUUCUUUUUCCCGGGGAUAACUCGAUAUCGCUAGGUUACAAACAGCAUAAUUAUUCCAUCCACUCGGGUUCUCGCUCGAUUACGCGCUAAUCUGAUGAUGUUUCUUUUUCUUCUUCUUCUUCUCCCCCCUUUUCUCUCUCCCUUUUCUCCCGUGAUAACGAACGGCGUUUAAUCGUUUCUUCCUGCCGCCUAGCGUUUCGCCACCGACCCCUUUCUCCUUCCAUUUUCACCCCCUCGCCGUUACGGGAUUUGCAAUUAACUCCCUUUUCUUUCACGCUCGAUCGUAUCGCGCGCGAAACGUGGUGGAGAAAGGUCUCUCGGGGCCAGCUUGUAAAUCUCGAAUAAACUUUGAGAAUGUGUUUAUUUUAAGAAUAGGAGAUUUUUUUUCCUUUCUCUCUUUCCUCUUUCGAUUAUAUACUUAAUGCUGACGAUCGUUUCGAGUUAAUUAAAUUAUUAAGACCGAUCAAGAAUGUUUGACGUAUGAUCGAUAUUUCUCAUUUUCCAUGGAAUUUUAUCGACCGUGUAAACGUAACGAUCCUGAUCACACCGGGCGAGUCGGGUUUCAUGGAAAAUUAAGCUGUCUUUAUGAACUAUAUCACAGCUAUAAUAACAACAUCGCCUGCUGCAGUUUCUACAAGAUUAUGGGAUACGACCUGCUCGUUUUAAGUUAGUGAAUCGGUAUAUGUACCCGGGUUAUUAACAUAUCGCACGUGCCUAUAGGUAUCCUCGUGAAUAACCGGGUCGAAUAUCAACCCGGAUAUCAGAGAUUAUGCUAAUGUUCGAUAAAUAAAUGGAGAUGAAUGGAGAUGGUGUGAUUAUGAUUUUUAUUCGUAGAAUUAUUGCGUACAAUUAUCAGGAUGGAACGAAAAUAAUAGAAAAAAAGUUUCUCUAAACGUAUCGUUUAAUAAGUGGAGGAACCUGUAGAAUUUUAAAACGAGGGCGUGUUUAAUAUAUUUUGGAAAAGAGAGAGAUGGAAAAAUCGGGAAGUAAAAAUGUAAAUUUCGCGUAACGAGUUUGCAGCCCCCUCCCCCGUGGCGCAGCAAGUUUGAAAAAUAGAGUGCCGUAAUAAAAAGAUCUCGUUGAGCGUAGUAAGUAGCUUCGCUUUAAUCCCUCUUUUUUUCUCUUCUUUUUCUUUCUUUUUUUUUUUUCCUACGAAAAACCUCCCUCCUUUUCGAAAAAUCUUUCAGAAUCACAGAGCGAAAACGUGACCAAAGCCAAGGGAAAAUUGCUAGUGAAAUUGUAAUUAAAUUAUUCAAACAAAUUUCUAAAUCCUCCUCUCUAUAAUUUAAACGACGAUCCGAUUACGAUAAUUGGAUUUAUUUACGAAAUAUGUUGUAACGAUUAGAUGAUUUUUUUUUUUUUUUUACCGAACGAUGAGAGCUUCAAAUUCGAUCAAUGAAUUCCAGAAAAAUUCGCGUUAACCCACGCGAUGAAAUGAAUUUCAUCCAAAAUGAUUCGCGUCGAAUACCCGAAAUUAUCUCGCGGGAGAAGCCUAGUGGUGUAUCCUACGAUUCACCAGACAGCUGGCUCCCCUCGAAACGCGUUCGAUCCCAAAUUUUCGACGACCGUGCAAUUACUCGUUUGUACUACAUUACCCGUCAAUUUCGAAAGAAUUUUUGCUUGAAAGAUCGCGCGACAACUGAUCCCCCUGUUCGAAAACUCGAUUCUCUCCCCGCAAAGACGCGAGAAAUUGGAGAGACACUGGUUAAAAAUCGUUUACCGGCGAUUCGAUUUCACCCACUUUUCCUCGGGGGAAGGACAUUAGGGGAGGCGCGUGUAUAUAUUUCAUUCACGGGAUCCGUUUCAACCGCAUUUCUCCCCUCCAGUGCUACUCCUCCUCCAUCGGAUGGGGGCGGCGUUUAUUGGAAAAGCUGAUCGCCCGAUCAAUUUCCGCGUGACUCGUCGCCGUGCAUUAACGGUAUUGCCACGAUACCUCUCGGUGGUAGUGGUUUAGAUGCCUUCGUGCAUUCGGAUACCGGAAAAUGUACGAAUGACAGGCGUCUCUGAAUUACAAUCUCACGUUUACCAAACUCUAUGGCGGUUACGUGAGCCUGCACACGUAUGCGCACGUACGGACGGGAACGUGAACAUGUCCCGAAUACCUGAGCCCUCCUCGUGGCGCAUUUGUCUUACGGGUUUCGGGGAUGGGGAUGGGGGAGGGGGUACGGCCUCCGCUUCUAUAUUUUAACCCGUGUCCGGCUAACCUGAUUUCCGUUGCACGAGGGAGACCGUUUCGAUCUCGUUUGUUUGUUAAAUACUGCUGGUUUGUAUCAAGUAUUGGCUAAGAGUUAUGGCGGAAUUUCGAGAAUUAUUUGCGUUUUAAAAAAAUUCGAUCGAUCGGGCGGAAGGGUUAAUUUUAGAAAUAUCUCGUUCUUGAAUUUUGAGAGCGAAGUGAAAGGGGUGUGGAUACGCUUUGGUGGAAGAAAUUUUCAACGAUGUUCAAUUCCGAUUUUGCUAUUUUUGUUCCAGGUGAGGUUCGAAUUCGAUUGCCACUCGACGACACUCGAGUAUAUAUAUAUAUAUAUAUCGGUAAGCGAGUGACUUUCCCCCUUAAUUUAUGCAUAUAUUCCGAAACUCGGCACGUAAUCUAAACCACUUUCAAUUCUGGAGAUGGUCUGUCUUAGUUUAGUCGAUAUUAAAGUCUGACUCAUAUUGACAAAACUUUCGCGAGGCAUGCAACUUGGAAUAAAAUACAUCCCAGCAGUGGUACGGAAUUAAUGAUAUACAGGCUCUCGUUCAAUAUUCUCAAUUUCGAUAUUUUCCAAUAACAAUUAACAAUAAAGUGAAAUUCCAAAUUGUAAAUUGAUCGGCAAGACGCGUGAUCCGAUUAAUCCCAAAAUGGAAAAUGGAAAAUGGGAUAUGAGAAGACGAGUUAUACGAUACUCUUCGAUAUUAUUACAUAUAACAAGUUACAUCAACGACUCGUCGUAAAGGUAAUUAAUCCGAAAAUGGAAGGGAAUUCCGUCGAAAUCUAUCGAAAUUUCUAAUACAUAUUUCUCGUCCCUAAUUCGUGAUAAUUCCGGGGGAAGUGGACGUGACGCGGGGAGGAGUAGGGAGGAAAUGUGGCGAAAUUCUACCGCGCAAACUACGCUCGCAUUCACGCUUGUCAGUAAUUGAAUUCCGGUAUUAUCCCCUGCGCGUUUCGAGGUGGUUUUCUUAGAUAAAGUUAUUCGCUCGCCGCUUUGCUCGCGGCGCAUCCUCUUCGCUUCCUCUCCGCGCCCCUCGUCAACCCGUUUCCUCCCCUUAUUAUGCUCAUUCUUGAAUUUAACACGAUUUUUUCAUAUCCUCUGAGAAGAGGUAACGAUAACGUCGAGCCAACAUCCUCGACAGCUGCAUCGAAUAUCUGGUUUCAAGGUUUUUUUGCGUAUUUCGGGAAUAUCGUAUUCUCCUCCUCCUCCUCCUCCUCCUCCUUGCACUCGGUGAGGAAAAGAUGGCGGUGAAUUAUGUUAUAUUCCAUUUGAAAAUUUCGCUGGAAUUUUUAAGGAGGCGUUGCUCGUGUAAUGGGGAGAGGGUUAUGGGAGGUGCAUCCUGCAGAUUGCAUCCGUAAAGAAAAAUGUUAGGAAUAUCGUGAAAAUAUUCGCGUAUUCUACAUUCGGGUUAGAAUCAUAACUCGUCGAUCUAAUGAAUUUUAUGGGGAGCGAUUUUUGUUUGAAAUUAUUUACGUGGAUAAUUUUAUAAUUGUGAUUUUGAUAUUGAAGAAAUUUAUAUCUAGAUUUUUGGAAUUAAUUGAAAGUUUUGUUGAAUUGUACUCCUAUAGGAAAUUGAUGGAUCAAUUUCGGCGAUGAAUCGUUAACUUUCAUUUUUUCGUCCCGAGGAAAGGAAUUGAGUAAACUUGCUCGUUUGGUAGACCUUCUUCGCAAUUUCACGUUUAAAUUUUAACCGUGACGGAUAAUGAAGUUCCCUUGAAGAGCGCGUUUGCAUAAUUGCGAGACAAGGUUUCCUCCACGAGGAGGCGGAAACACACAGGAGCGGCACGGUUCUUCCGUAAUUUUUGUAACUCGGGGACGGGGAGAGGAACAUCUAUUCCGAACACGGUGUAUCUUCGCUUUAUCUUCUCGUGAAAGUUCCACUUAAAUAUUUUUCCCGUAUUUUUAAAUUAUCGAAUUAACAAAUUUCUUCUGCCGCUUAUCAAUCGUGAAAUUUAAUCGAGGAUCGAUUAAACAUUCCUUUUGAAUCGAUAUCGUGUGCGACCAAUAUUUGUCGCGUUUAAUUAAAUUGUCGAUAAACGAUGGCCGUAUUAAAAUCUUAAGUCGAGCUUAACUCAACGAAUAUUAUUCGACGUAAAAUGUAAUUACCCCGUCUACGGAUCUCUGAUUAAUAAUAGGUCUGUUUCAUUCGUCCACGAUGAAACAGACUGAACAAAAGUAGUAACAAUCGAUUCUUUGUGUAUCGUUGAUGAUUCGAGUGCGUAGGAAAAGCUCUAUUUCUCGUUAUUGCGAAGUUAAUCGAAAACUGGACCGUGUUGUUGAUAAAAUGACGCGUUUUUGGAAAUUAGAAAUUUAAGAGAAUCAUUAUCCAUUUCUUUUCGUAUCAUUUUUCGUAGGAAAAGCUAUUUAAAUUAAAGCCAUAUAAUUAGAAACUUUGAGAAUUGGGAAUUUGAUCGUAAUAAUCGAGAAGAAAAAGGAAAUUGUUAUCGAUUUCUUUCUAUAUCAUUGACGAUCCGUGCAAAAGCUCUCUUUCUCAUUGAGGAGUAGAGUUAAGUGAAAACUGGGUCAUCUUCGAACGCGUUUCGAAUUUCGAAAAAUUAAAAAUUUGGAGAAUCGUCGUGUAAGGAAAGGCUCGCUUUCUCGUUAUUGAGGGGCAAAGUUAUAAACUAAAUUUAGUUAGAAACUAAUCGAAAAGAAUUACCCCGUCUACGGAUUGAUAACGAUAUCUCAAUCUCAUUUGAGCAAAAAUAAUAACAAAACGAUCGAUAUAACGUAAAGACACGCGAAUGCCGAAAGAAAUGGGGAAGAAGGAUUCCCCUUCCGAUACCUUCUCCCUCUCGAAAUCGUUCUCGAGAUGAACGUGCAAACAGUUUUAAAACAUCUCGAAGACAAGAGGAGAAACGUGGGAAGGACGACGAUACGAGAAACUGUGCGCGAGGAGGUGGACGAGCGAGGGCGAGCAGCGGGAAUAUUCUCAGGUAUGCGGGUGGUGGGUGCUAGCCAGAUGGCUACAACAAAGGAAAAUGGAAGAAAGUAUUGCAGCGAGGAGGUGUCUAACAGAGAGAGAGAAGAGGAGAAAGGUUUAAAUGCUUUUCGAUACGCGGAGAUUUCAUCAAAGCGGAAAUUCCUGCGAGAGGGUUGCGGAGAGGGAGGUGUUCCUCAGUCAGGUGGCCUCGUCCCGAGGAGGAACGCUGCGUUGUGAAUCGAGCAAAAGCGUGGAAGGGAAUGGAGAAGAAAGACACGACACAGGUGGAGAAAAGGAGGAAAAUGGGUGAUGAGCGUAAAGUGAAAGAGGGACGGCUCGGGGAGGAGGAAAGUUGUACGAUGGA